AAAUGGACAACGUCGUCAACCAGAGGUAGAAAGAUCUCCAGAGCAACGCAGGAGCUUUACAAGCAUGGAAACUACCUGAGAACAUCGCUUACAAAAGAUUUAAACAGCAUUUUCAGCAAUCUCCUAGUUUCCUGUGUGUUCAUCCCACAAUUAUUGCAGAAGCUUUGGGAAUCUCGUCUGGUAGCCGGCUCUGUAGACACACACCACCUGCUUUUGCACCACGGAAUCAGCUACCGCCGCCGCCUCUGCUCCAGCAAGCAGCCGUGGCUCAACCUGAGCCCAGGCUGCUACAAGCAGCACCUGCCUGUGCGCUGGCAACCUCAAGCCCCUGGGCCAUCAGCCCUGCCUGAGUUCAUCGCGAUAAGGGCAGGCGGGAUAGCUGGAGGCUGCAGAGAGCCCUGGAACCCGUCCCUGCUGCAAGCAAGCGCUUCCUGGAUGAUAGGCUGAGCACGAGAGCACAGGAAAACUCCUUCUAGGAAUGCCCACACCAUCACCCUGCCGGCUCUCUGGCAGAAGGGGUAUGCAGGGUAAGUUGGCCUGGAUAGUGCUGUGGGAGCUGCCUUACCCUGCAAUGCGCAGACAACCCCAGCAGCUCGUGAUCUCUGCCCGGCACAAUGACCAGCACAGAAGCUGUUGUCCAGUGACAGGGGGCUUGCUUGUUUGCCUGGGGAAGCACAGCAAGGCAGGCAAUGAGGUGUGAUACAUAAUUCAGUCACCUACUUAAGUCACCACCACGUGCAGGUCAUUAUUUCUUUCCCGAGUCUUCUCUACUGACGAUGUACAUUAUACAGAUCCUCUUCCGAUCAAGCAUGGCAAUUCCUACGUUCCUUUUAGCUCCUCUUCCUCAGGAUACAAGGGGACAAGAAAGCUCGUUGACCUCUCACCUAGGUUGCCUGCUAAAACCUUCUUUGCAGGAAUCCCAGAAUUACCAGCAUGAGCAUUAACGCAACAGAGCUCUUAAGAAAUGAGCAUACCACACCUAUGCACGUUACAGAAAAGGUAGAAGGCUGGAAAAUAAAGUUGAUUUGGAAAGAGAGAAGAAAAAAAAAAAGUUGUUUUCCUUGGCCAUGGAAGUUUUUCUUUUGCCACUACUUUCUCUGAAUGCAGGAGAACUGACUGGCUGGAAAUCACAUCAAGAAGUCACCAGCUGUAUCGCUGUGCAGCCUACACAUGCUGGUCUUUUUUCCCUGCUCUUCCUAAUCUGAAGAUGGCACAACCAGAAAAUCCAGCAGAUGAGUAGUCGGGCACAAUACAAGCAACUCUGUGGGCUGCAACCUUGAUACCUGAUCUUCUAAAGCUUUAUGUCUUAUCUUAAAGCUAUCUUAAAACAGGCUCUAUUUCUUCUACAUACGUACCUUGUAUGUUUUGGGAGCGUUUUUCUUUUGAGAAGAUCAAAAGGAUGCUUCUGGUAUCAGCCAUUGGUGUUGUAAUAUUUACCAGUUCACAAUGUUUUUUUCCCCAUGUUUAAAGGGCUAUUUUAAUUCUUUAGUUGCCACACGUGUUCAUACUGAAUGACCUCAAACCAAAAUAUUGUUACUGCCAAAGUCCAUUGAAAGAUUUAAAUCAACAAAAUUGAGGAAGCACGGCAGCAACAGCUCCUAUAGGUUGGGUGCUUUCACCUACCUGUAUUUGCUUUCCCUCUCUAAACACGUUGCUGCUGUAUUGAAGUUUCUUCUAAAGAUUAAUUAGCAAAGCAAUUAGCAUGUUUUAUCCAUUCUUUUUUCCUCCCCAUCCCCAGGGUACAUGCAUACGUUGGUCAGCUUAUGCUUCAAAAUUACACUUUUUGAUGCUACUUAUGAAGGUCAGAUUAAUUAAAUAUUGCUUUAUGCGCAACUGAAGUUUGGACUGGAGAGCACUGACGUUUAUGUUAGUGUUCAGUUUGCAGUCCUACAGUCAUUGAGAAAACAGUUUUAUAGUAAACAAUUCCCUUGUGGCAGGAAUGCAUUUCCUUGGCAAAUGAGGUCAUACAAGAUGAACACAAACCAAAUAACUCAGGAAGGGGAAAAUUCAGUAUCUGUUGUCAUUCUUUGAAAUCCCAAACCUCCUCCUAUGCAUAUCCAUUGUUGGAUUAUACACAGUUCAUAAGGUCUUCGCCUUUGUAUACAUUUCCCAGACAUAAAAUCAUGGCACUCUUACUCUCCUCACAACAAAAUGAGAGCAGACACUACCUGGAUUGUCAACCACAAGGUUGUAAAAGGGCCCCUUGAACAAAAGGAUAAAACUGUACAGACUUCUUCAUAAAAUCUACUGAGGGCAUUCCAUGUUAAACUAGAAGGGCUUUUCAAGUGUGUUUAGUAAUAUGUGAUCAUAACCGUGACUGGUCAGGACCAUAUCAUGUGUUUGAGGCUUUUAAAGGCCUUGAACGAAUAUGUUUAAUCUCCAUUUUACUAGAAAUUUACUGCAGAGGAUUGCUUUCAUCCAUGCCCUCGUCUCACAUUGAUGCAGAGAGUGAUAUUGUGCUGUAUUGUGAAAGAUGGAUUUAUCUCCACCUGCUUUGCUUUAUCUCCAUACUGCUGACAUUUGGGCUUUUAAAGUCUCGCCGUGUUCAGCAGUGGUUGUCUAUAAAUAGCGUCUAGUUAUUACCUUAUCGAUCUCUUGUUUUGUGUUUAAUCAACAUUAUAGUACAGAAGAUAGCACGCAUAGGUUGUCCUGUACGUAAAGAAGGAAACAAACGUAUU
rnacentral:lncRNA from 1 species